rnacentral:rRNA from 1 species
UGGGGAAUUUUGCGCAAUGGGGGAAACCCUGACGCAGCAACGCCGCGUGGAGGAUGAAGCCCCUUGGGGUGUAAACUCCUUUCGAUCGGGACGAUUAUGACGGUACCGGAUGAAGAAGCACCGGCUAACUCUGUGCCAGCAGCCGCGGUAAUACAGAGGGUGCAAGCGUUGUUCGGAAUUAUUGGGCGUAAAGGGUGCGUAGGCGGUGCGGUAAGUCUGCUGUGAAAUCUCCGGGCUCAACCCGGAGCCUGCAACGGAAACUGCCGUGCUCGAGUAUGGGAGAGGUGAGUGGAAUUCCCGGUGUAGCGGUGAAAUGCGUAGAUAUCGGGGGGAACACCUGUGGCGAAAGCGGCUCACUGGACCAUUACUGACGCUGAUGCACGAAAGCUAGGGGAGCAAACAGGAUUAGAUACCCUGGUAGUCCUAGCCCUAAACUAUGAUCGCUUGGUGUGACAGGUACCCAAUCCUGUCGUGCCGGAGCUAACGCGUUAAGCGAUCCGCCUGGGGAGUACGGUCGCAAGGCUG